rnacentral:rRNA from 1 species
GAUGAACGCUAGCGGCAGGCUUAACACAUGCAAGUCGAGGGGCAGCGUGAGGGUUAGCAAUAACCCUUGACGGCGACCGGCGCAAGGGUGCGUAACGCGUGAGCAACUUGCCCUUAUCAGGGGGAUAACCGGUGGAAACGUCGACUAAUACCCCCAUGGCAUUGAGUUGAGGCAUCUCUACUCAAUUAAAGAAUUUCGGAUAAGGAUAGGCUCGCGUGACAUUAGCUAGACGGCGGGGUAACGGCCCACCGUGGCUACGAUCAGUAGCCGGACUGAGAGGUUGAACGGCCACAUUGGGACUGAGACACGGCCCAGACUCCUACGGGAGGCAGCAGUGGGGAAUAUUGCACAAUGGGCGAAAGCCUGAUGCAGCAACGCCGCGUGAGGGAAGACGGUUUCGGAUUGUAAACCUCUGUCUUUGGUGAAGAUAAUGACGGUAGCCAAGGAGAGCCACGGCUAACUACGUG